rnacentral:rRNA from 1 species
GUCGAGAAUCUUUCACAAUGGGGGCAACCCUGAUGGAGCGACGCCGCGUGAGUGAUGAAGGCCUUCGGGUCGUAAAGCUCUGUCGCAGGGGAAUAACACAAUGAAGGUACCCUGCUAGAAAGGAUCGGCUAACUUCGUGCCAGCAGCCGCGGUAAGACGAGGGAUCCUAGCGUUGUUCGGAAUUAUUGGGCGUAAAGCGGGUGCAGGUGGCUUGGUAAGUCAGAUGUGAAAGCCUGGGGCUUAACCCCAGAAGUGCAUUUGAUACUGCUGAGCUUGAGUGCUGGAGAGGCUAUUAGAAUUCCUGGUGUAGUGGUGAAAUACGUAGAUAUCAGGAGGAAUACCGGAGGCGAAGGCGGAUAGCUGGCCAGACACUGACACUCAGACCCGAAAGCGUGGGGAUCAAACAGGAUUAGAUACCCGUGUAGUCC